CGUCAUUCCCGUUUUUAGUGUGCAACGUCGAGGGAGAGAAGCAAAGCUGGUUUUCUCAAAAGAGAAAAAACAUCGAAGGACAGAAAGAAAAAGGGGAAAAUGUGUGGAUUCGGCAGGGGCUCCUGUAAUCUCUCACACCUAACCUCAUAUCUCCUUUUGCCUUCCCACUUCCCAAGCUAGGGUUGCAGCCGCCGCCACCCCAUCGCUCCACCGGCACGGGCCGCCGAAGGAAGGCCGGCUUCUCCCACGGAUCUUCUCCUCUUCCUCGUAGCAAGGCAUGGCCCUGCUCUUCCCCAUGACGCUGAUGACAAGGCGGACGGUGCCGCGAGCUCUCCUCCCUAGGAAGCCGCGGGAGGACGAGGUCAAGCCAGACCUGGUCGACAUGCCCCCUGCCACACCUCCCUGGAGCCCGCAUCCUGUCGCCGCUGCUGGCUGAGGUGGUUAGGUCGAGAGCAUGCCCGCCGAUGAUGGUACUUCAUUUAUUCUGUUUUAGAACAAUAAACGUCAUAAUUACUGAAAUCUUAUAGUGGUACCAUGGCACAAGUUAUAUAAUCUGUUUCUGCAUUUAGGGUCUCUAGGAAAAAUUUGGAAUGUUUCUUUCAUCUUUGUUAGCUUGAUCUGCUGAUUGACAGUCUCAUUAUUUAUGCCUUUCAGUUGUGGAGUUCAGGAAUACUGGGUUGGAGAGAUCAGAGCCACUGAAGAAAGAUCUAGAAUGGUUCAUGGAACAGGGCCACACCAUUCCAGAACCAUCUGCCGCUGGUACUGCAUGUGCCUCCUACCUGGAAGAGUUGUGUGAGAAGGACCCCCAAGCAUUUAUCUGUCACUUCUAUAAUGUGUACUUUGCUCAUACUGCUGGAGGGCGAAUGAUUGGCAAAAAGGUUGUUGAGAAGAUUCUGAACAAGAAAGAGCUGGAGUUCUACAAGUGGGAAAGUACCAUGUGCCAGCUGCUGUAGAAUGUCCGCACCACACUAAACCAAGUUGCUUUUAGCUGGUCUCGGGAAGAGAAGGACCACUGCCUGGAGGAGACCUAGAAGUCGUUCGCCUAUUCAGGAGAUCUCCUACCCCAGAUAUAAGUCAUGCGUGCAUUUUCUUCAUUGGUCUACUAAAAUAAAAUGUUCUUUCUACUAGGCACACGGGCUCUGAGUAGUGGCAUAAAGCAAAAUUAGUCAUUUGCUAUUAUUAAUACACUGUAAACUUUGCAACAGAAUGUAUUAAGUAGGAAGAAAUUCAUUUGUGUACUCAUAAUGUGACGGUUUAACUAAGUUUCUCUUUGGUUGUUUGAAGUGGAUCAUGUGAGUCUUUGCUUAAUGGAUCAGGGAAAGUUUUUUUCUCCUGAUAAGAUUAUUGCACUCACCAGUUGAGUACUCAGGUAUUUGUUCUCAUCUUUAUGAUGAUGGUAAUGAACUUUCAGGGCAUGCCGUAUUUUCCAGUUAUUUUAGCUUCUUAUAGUAUGUUGGCCGACUCUUACUCCCUUAAGAUAUUUCUCUUCCUUGAUUUGGCUAGAAGUUCUACUCGCAAAAGUGAAACACUAUCAGUUGAACUUUGAUGGCCGCAGUCAUGAUUACUCUUUGUGCAAUUUAAUUAGGUUUAACAAAAAAAUCAUUUAUUGUUGCUAGAUAAUAGUUGCUAAAUUUCAAUCACCCAAUGAAAAUGGUGCAAUAGAGCCUAAAUAGCUGCUAGAUAAUACAUGAAAUUUGCCUCAAAAAAAUUAAUUAGGUUUCUGAAUUUGGUCAGAUUCUCUACAGGUUUAGGCACUUCAUUGUUGGUGACGCAAUUUUUUGCACUGCUGCUAAUUGUACUAUAUGUUAUUCAUUAGGAGGGAUAUUGGCAUAGGGAUAACACAUAAUAGAAAUGAGAAUCAUCAUCACUCUCAUAUAUACUCCCUCUGUAAAAUAUUAUAAGAGCAUUUAGAUCACUAAAAUAUUGAUCUAAACACUCUUAUAUUAGUUUACAGAGGGAGUACAUUACUAUGUCCUUUUUGUUUCCAUUGAGACCUAUUAUGUUUACUUGAUUCAUUUCGAGACAAUCUUCUCGAAUUUUUGGUGAUACACAAUGAACAACACAUUUGAAUGGGAGACAUUGAGGGUGUGUUUGGUUCAAGAACCAAGUGGAAUGGAAUUUCAUAUUUCCAUUCCACGGGAAUGGGUUGGUUCCGUUCCUGUGUUUGGCUAUGGGUAUUAGAUGGAAUGGAAUGGUUACGUUCUGGUGUUUGGUUCCACAGUUGGAAUGGAGUAAUUUUCCGCAACAAUAUGAAUAGUUUAACUCUUUGUAUUUUCAGGAACAUAAUAUUCAAAUUUUGAGAAAACAUUUGAAUUUUAUUUGCAACACGCACAGUUUAUAAAUACAUUCAAGCAUAUAUCAAACAUAAAUUCACACUAUUUUGUAGUAUUUAACAAGUUACAUAUAUAGGUAGAAAUUCCAACAUACACAUCAAGCAGAAAUAAUGAAAGACUAGAUGUUGCUGUACUAAUGAAGCUCUCUGUGCCGGCCGGAGCAGGAAUAGGUGCCUGGUUGGUGGUGGGACGAGAUAACCAGCAGAAGAGAGGGGACAACAUCGGGGAAAAUGUGAGAGACGGGAGGCGUUCCGCCACCGAUUCGGAGGUACUAGUGCGUUCCGGAUCUAGGAGGAAUAUGCCAUUCCUGAGAACGAGUGAGUUCCGAUUCCUCGACCCAACCAAACAGGAGAACGACCUCUAGGGACGAGAUGGGCCCGUUUCCACCUGGUGACACAAACCAAAUACAUCCCGAGUGGACGAAUUCAACGAUUAGUGAGUUUACAGGCCAGUCCUGUCUCCCUCCACCCCACCAGAUUUGAUUCUCAUGUUUUUUUUCUCGCCUGAUAUUAAUUCUCGGUAUUCUCCCUGCCUAUUUUGUUUCAUUCUUGUUCCCAGUGUUCUUACUUCUACUCCCUCCGUUCAUAAAUAAGUGAUGGAGGGACUAUAUAUGUUCCUUGCUGAUGUAACAGAUUAGUUGGUUUUGAUCAAAAUCAAAUGGGAUUCAUCUAGGUUUGAGAGCCGACGGACGUGGCGGCUGCUGCGGCUGGUGGUGCUCUGUGUGUGCAUGGGGUAGCGCGGUCCUCCUGCUCGUCAAGACACUACAACACAGCAGCGUCGACCUCGGCGGCAAGUGCAGCCACUGGCUGCACUACGGCGUGCAAGAAUUCUGUGUCAACGAGAUAUCAGCGUUCCGCUUCCACCCCCUCGAGUAGGCAAUGAUGAAGGUGAGUGUCGGCUCGGUGGGGUUGGCGGAGGGCGUUUAUUCUACGUGUACCUGAACUGCAGCGACAAGUCUAGAGUUUGGGAGUACAACGACAUGAUGAACAUGAACAUUUGAUAGAUAUAGUGUUAAGAUUGCAUGUUUAUUUGCUGAAUUUGGACAAGCCAUCGUAUGUAAUGCAUCAGCUAUACAUACAUGUGUGUUAUCAAUCAAAG
rnacentral:rRNA from 1 species